GGGUGACGAGGUGGUGUCAUGGUUGUCGUCAGCUCGUGUCGUGAGAUGUUGGGUUAAGUCCCGCAACGAGCGCAACCCUCGACCUUAGUUGCCAGCAUUCAGUUGGGCACUCUAAGGUGACUGCCGACUAAAAGUCGGAGGAAGGUGGGGAUGACGUCAAAUCAUCAUGCCCCUUAUGACCUGGGCUACACACGUGCUACAAUGGGCGGUACAAAGGGUCGCGAACCCGCGAGGGGGAGCCAAUCCCAAAAAGCCGCUCUCAGUUCGGAUUGCAGGCUGCAACUCGCCUGCAUGAAGCCGGAAUCGCUAGUAAUCGCGGAUCAGCAUGCCGCGGUGAAUACGUUCCCGGGCCUU
rnacentral:rRNA from 1 species